rnacentral:rRNA from 1 species
UCUGAUUAGCUAGUUGGUGGGGUAAGAGCCUACCAAGGCGACGAUCAGUAGCUGGUCUGAGAGGAUGAUCAGCCACACUGGGACUGAGACACGGCCCAGACUCCUACGGGAGGCAGCAGUGGGGAAUUUUCCGCAAUGGGCGCAAGCCUGACGGAGCAAGACCGCGUGCGGGAGGACGGCCUAUUGGUUGUAAACCGCUUUUGAUAGGGAAGAAACUCUGACGGUACCUAUCGAAUCAGCAUCGGCUAACUCCGUGCCAGCAGCCGCGGUAAUACGGAGGAUGCAAGCGUUAUCCGGAAUUAUUGGGCGUAAAGCGUCCGUAGGUGGUUGUUCAAGUCUGCUGUUAAAGCGUGCGGCUUAACCGCAUACCAGCAGUGGAAACUGGACGACUAGAGUGCGGUAGGGGUCAGGGGAAUUCCCAGUGUAGCGGUGAAAUGCGUAGAUAUUGGGAAGAACACCGGUGGCGAAAGCGCCUGACUGGACCUGCACUGACACUGA